rnacentral:rRNA from 1 species
GACGAACGCUGGCGGCGUGCCUAACACAUGCAAGUCGAGCGAAUGAAGUUCCUUCGGGAAUGGAUUUAGCGGCGGACGGGUGAGUAACUCGUGGGCAACCUGCCUCAUAGAGGGGAAUAGCCUUCCGAAAGGGAGAUUAAUACCGCAUAAGAUUAUAGUACCGCAUGGUACAGCAAUUAAAGGAGCAAUCCGCUAUGAGAUGGGCCCGCGGCGCAUUAGCUAGUUGGUGAGGUAACGGCUCACCAAGGCGACGAUGCGUAGCCGACCUGAGAGGGUGAUCGGCCACAUUGGGACUGAGACACGGCCCAGACUCCUACGGGAGGCAGCAGUGGGGAAUAUUGCACAAUGGGGGAAACCCUGAUGCAGCAACGCCGCGUGAGUGAUGACGGCCUUCGGGUUGUAAAGCUCUGUCUUCAGGGACGAUAAUGACGGUACCUGAGGAGGAAGCCACGGCUAACUACGUGCCAGCCGCCGCAGUAA